AUUACUAGGGGUUUCACGCAAACUCGAAGGCCGAAGAUUUUACUAAAUAUCUGGAAAUAAAACCAUUUUAUGUGUAAACUAUAGAUAUUGCUUCUUUUUAUUCAUAAACUCGAAUUUUUUAGAAUUUUUUGAAUCUAAAAAUUCUGGAAGUGAAUGUUGAAAUAUUUCGAAAUAAUACGGAUUUUGGUGAAUCCCAGAGAAUUUUAGAGAAAAGAGAGAAAUAUUGAAAUUUUAGAUGAAUUUUAAGUUGCGUGAAACCCCUAGG